UACGAAGGGGGCUAGCGUUGCUCGGAAUCACUGGGCGUAAAGCGCACGUAGGCGGCUUUCUAAGUCAGGGGUGAAAUCCUGGAGCUCAACUCCAGAACUGCCCUUUGAUACUGGAGAGCUUGAGUCCGGGAGAGGUGAGUGGAACUCCGAGUGUAGAGGUGAAAUUCGUAGAUAUUCGCAAGAACACCAGUGGCGAAGGCGGCUCACUGGCCCGGUACUGACGCUGAGGUGCGAAAGCGUGGGAGCAACAGGA
rnacentral:rRNA from 1 species